rnacentral:rRNA from 1 species
CUACGUGCCAGCAGCCGCGGUAAUACGUAUGUCGCGAGCGUUAUCCGGAAUUAUUGGGCAUAAAGGGCAUCUAGGCGGCCUUUCAAGUCAGGGGUGAAAACCUGCGGCUCAACCGCAGGCCUGCCUUUGAAACUGAUAGGCUGGAGUACCGGAGAGGUGGACGGAACUGCACGAGUAGAGGUGAAAUUCGUAGAUAUGUGCAGGAAUGCCGAUGAUGAAGAUAGUUCACUGGACGGUAACUGACGCUGAAGUGCGAAAGCCGGGGGAGCGAACAGGAUUAGAUACCCUGGUAGUCCCGGCCGUAAACGAUGAUUACUGGGUGUGGGCAGGAAGACUGUCUGUGCCGAAGCGAAUGCGAUAAGUAAUCCGCCUGGGGAGUACGGCCGCAAGGCUAAAACUCAAAGGAAUUGACGGGGGCCCGCACAAGCGGCGGAGCAUGCGGAUUAAUUCGAUGCAACGCGAAGAACCUUACCAAGGCUUGACAUGC